rnacentral:rRNA from 1 species
ACGGAAGGCAGCAGUGGGGAAUAUUGGACAAUGGGGGAAACCCUGAUCCAGCGACGCCGCGUGAGUGAAGAAGUAUUUCGGUAUGUAAAGCUCUAUCAGCAAGGAAGAAAAUGACGGUACUUGACUAAGAAGCCCCGGCUAACUACGUGCCAGCAGCCGCGGUAAUACGUAGGGGGCAAGCGUUAUCCGGAUUUACUGGGUGUAAAGGGAGCGUAGACGGUAUGGCAAGUCUGAAGUGAAAUGCAUGGGCUCAACCCAUGAACUGCUUUGGAAACUGUCAAACUAGAGUGCAGGAGAGGUAAGUGGAAUUCCUAGUGUAGCGGUGAAAUGCGUAGAUAUUAGGAGGAACACCAGUGGCGAAGGCGGCUUACUGGACGAUAACUGACGUUGAGGCUCGAAAGCGUGGGGAGCAAACAGGAUUAGAUACCCUGGUA